UCUGGUGGCGAGUGGCGAACGGGUGAGUAAUACAUCGGAACGUACCCAGAAGUGGGGGAUAACGCAGCGAAAGUUGCGCUAAUACCGCAUACGUUCUACGGAAGAAAGUGGGGGAUCGCAAGACCUCAUGCUUUUGGAGCGGCCGAUGUCUGAUUAGCUAGUUGGUAGGGUAAAGGCCUACCAAGGCGACGAUCAGUAGCUGGUCUGAGAGGACGACCAGCCACACUGGAACUGAGACACGGUCCAGACUCCUACGGGAGGCAGCAGUGGGGAAUUUUGGACAAUGGGCGCAAGCCUGAUCCAGCAAUGCCGCGUGAGUGAAGAAGGCCUUCGGGUUGUAAAGCUCUUUUGUCAGGGAAGAAACGGCUGAGGCUAAUACCUUCGGCUAAUGACGGUACCUGAAGAAUAAGCACCGGCUAACUACGUGCCAGCAGCCGCGGUAAUACGUAGGGUGCAAGCGUUAAUCGGAAUUACUGGGCGUAAAGCGUGCGCAGGCGGUUUUGUAAGUCUGACGUGAAAGCCCCGGGCUCAACCUGGGAAUUGCGUUGGAGACUGCAAGGCUUGAAUCUGGCAGAGGGGGGUAGAAUUCCACGUGUAGCAGUGAAAUGCGUAGAGAUGUGGAGGAACACCGAUGGCGAAGGCAGCCCCCUGGGUCA
rnacentral:rRNA from 1 species